rnacentral:rRNA from 1 species
AUGACAAAAAUGAACAGAAACUACUACCUCCUCCCUCAUGAAGAUGACCCGGUCGGAACCAUUCGGAACAAGAACUGUAUUGGCAAAGUAAUGUUCCUGACCGCUGUUGCUCGACCCAGAUAUGAUGCUGAAGGCAAUGUAAUAUUCUCAGGGAAAAUUGGUGUCUGGCCUUUCGUCCAAGAGAUUCCAGCUGCUAGAAGAAGUGAAAAUAGAGCAAGAGGGACCAUGGAAAUCAAGAACGUCACUGUGAACCGAGACGUAAUGCGGCAGUAUAUGAUAGAGAAAGUGGUUCCGGGAAUAAAAGAAGUGUGGCCCAUAGAUGAUAUUGGCCCAAUAUUGAUCCAACAGGACAACACGAAGAUACAUAUUCUUCCCGGUGAUGCAGAGUUUGCAAAAGCUGUGGCUACAACUGGUCUGGACAUUAGAAUAAUACAACAACCUCCAAAUUCUCUAGAUCUGAAUGCACUUGAUCUUGGAUAUUUCAGAUCCCUUGAGUCUUUGACCGACUGCAGAGCCCCUACGACUAUCAAAGAACUGAUUCAAGGUGUGCAGGAAGAGUUCGAUGAGUAUGAUGUCGACAAACUGAACCGAAUAUUUCUAACACUUCAGACCAUCAUGGUUGAAGUGAUGAACUAUGGAGGAGGAAACUCAUAUAAAAUUCCACAUUUGUGGAAGCAGAGAUUGGAAAGGCAAGGAAUGCUACCGCCUAUGAUACAUUUCCCUCGUGAAGUUUAUGAUAAUGCCAUGGAGAUUCUAGGACAAGAUGUCAGAGUGAGCAUGCAGUGGAGUAUGUUGAGACCUGUAGUGCUAUGA